rnacentral:rRNA from 1 species
GCAACGAGCGCAACCCUAUUGUUAGUUGCCAUCAUUCAGUUGGGCACUCUAGCGAGACUGCCGGUAAUAAACCGGAGGAAGGUGGGGAUGACGUCAAAUCAUCAUGCCCCUUAUGACCUGGGCUACACACGUGCUACAAUGGUUGGUACAACGAGUUGCGAGUCGGUGACGGCGAGCUAAUCUACUUAAAGCCAAUCUCAGUUCGGAUUGUAGGCUGCAACUCGCCUACAUGAAGUCGGAAUCGCUAGUAAUCGCGGAUCAGCACGCCGCGGUGAAUACGUUCCCGGGCCUU